AAACAUGAGAGUUUGAUCCUGGCUCAGGAUGAACGCUGGCGGCGUGCUUAACACAUGCAAGUCGAACGAAGCAGUCUUGAUGAAGCCUUCGGGUGGAAUCAGGAUUGACUGAGUGGCGGACGGGUGAGUAACGCGUGGGUAAUCUGCCUCACACAGGGGGAUAACAGUUAGAAAUGACUGCUAAUACCGCAUAAGCGCACGAGAGGGCAUCCUCAAGUGUGAAAAGCCGAG
rnacentral:rRNA from 1 species